CGCGUGUGCGUAUAACUUCUCGCGUAUCUCGAAAAUAUGCCAGACUGGAAAUAUACGCUCAAAGGAGCGAGCACUCAUUUCUUCCACUUGAACUGGCAUAUUCAAGCGCGCAUAAGAGCACUCACGGAUGGAGAGAAAUAAUAACGAAUCGUUUAAUUCGAAGAAUGUAAUAACCCUUUCCAUCGCGCAUGGCUUCAGAAAUUACCUCAGUCAUCUAACAUGGCGAUUUGCGAAGGGAACUCGCUUGCAGAAGUCAUCCUUUCGAUAAUUGUUGAACGAGUAAUACGUAAAGAUAUACAAGACUAAACGAAGAUGAAAGCAGUUCCAAGAGCCCAGAAUUAUUGCAGAGGAGCCUAGUUGACCGAUAUCUGAAUUAUAAUUACGUUCAAAGAAGAUACAUGGAUUUCUACGUUCAACGUGAUAAUUAAACAUUCGACAUCUGAAAUGAAACACACGUACAUCGGUACUUCUUGUUUUUCCUUACAUCAGACGAUAUGUCCUAUUUGGAUAAGACAAAUAUCCGACCGUCAACCAGAUUAGGAAAGGAAAACGUUUUUCUCUUCAGUCUUAUGUUUAAAUGAUUUUAUCAUGGCGACGAGAGUAUUUCUAUCGAUGAGUGGGUUAUUAGGUCUCUUACCUUAAGCAAUUUUAAAGGUAUUAUUUCAAUAUAAAUCAAGAAUCCGUAUAAUUUUCAACUGCUGUAAUAAAGAAUAUUCGAUAUAGGAAACAAAAUGCUUGAUGUAGGAGAGGAGAUGGUAAAAACGGCGGAGGAAGCUGAUGCUGCUUACGAGUUUAUUACAAAUCUUGCCAAUAAUCUGAAACCCAAGUUGGUGAGAGAGGAAGCUAAUUAUCUGGUGUAUGAAAGCAACAUGUUACUAUUGCUAGAACAAUACUAUAACAACCAUCGACUUCAAUAUUGAAUUUAAAUAAACGAGCGCAUUGGAUCGUGAAUGCAGAAGAGUGGUUUAAAAAGCAGUUGGAAAUUCUAACCAAGGAAGAAACAUCGUUAGCUAUUGUUCAUGUAUGCGUUAUCUGAUUGAGAAUACUUAAGAAGAGGAAAAAGAAGAAAAAACAUUUGUGCUUGACGACGAAGCUUGGAAAGACCAAUAUGGCGCUGUUUUAUGAAGCUUGGAACAGCGGUAAGAGGAAAUGGGAGAGAUUUACAUUUUUCAAAGGAUCCAAACGUGAGCGGCUUUAGCUGGAGCGUAUAUUCGAUUGAACUCGGAAAGAUUUAUUGAAAGGUCCUCCGAAGUUUCCCAUGAGGCAAGAAUCAAAGGGGACUUGACAUGAAACUGCGGGAUGUAUAUAAUACAGAAUAAUUUAACAGACAGGAAUAACCAAAAGAUUCACCGUUUUUGGAAAUAAUGACUAGCAGUGGAAUACUUUUAAAUUAAACGUGAAAUAGGAAGUCCACGUUCACGUCAUCGUUAUUCCAUUGAUUUAAAUUAAAUGUGAACUACGUUUGCUCGAUAAAGUACCAUCGAUUUGCUGAGAGCUAACGUCCGAAAGGGUUCAGGGCAGUUAUGGUUAUUACGUUUUACGCACAUUAAUUGCUCAGACGAACGGAAAGGUCGAAAAUGAAAUUAAUUAAGGGGUAUUGAGAUUCUCUUUUAUUAAGGAACAAUAUCUUUUAAUUCGGCAUAUUACUUUUUUUUUCUUUUUUUUUUUCUUUUUCCUUCACAGCUUAUAAUUUGAAAUUAAUUAAAGAAUAUUGACUAUUGACAAUUAAUUUUUUUUAUUUAUCUACUUAAAAAUGACUAUCAAUAAGAAUUAAUUUCUCCUUUGUUUAUCUCUUGAAACUAUCAUUUCUUUUCCUGUAUUACGCAAUAAUAAGGAAUAUGAAUUCAGAGAGAAUCUUUCUCCAUAUUCAUUUUUUUUCCGUUACAUCGUCUUUUUCUCUACGUAUUUCAUUUGAAUGCGCUUUACGCAGGUCGAUUAAAAUUUUUUGUUAAUCGGCCGAAAAGGAUAUGUGUUCGGAGGAAACGAAUUUCUCGACCAAUCCCUUUUAAUUCGACGUAACAUUAUUCGUUCGAAUAGUGGUACGAUUAGACCUUUUUCAUGAAUACACCUUUUUCAAAGAAUCCAUGGAUGGGGAGUUUUAGCUAGGUUCAAGUCGAAAGGACCGUUGAAGGAUUGUCAGACGUUCCAUGUGGAACAUGAAUCAAAGUGAAAUUAAGAUGGAACUGAAAGUUUAUCAUCUAUCAUAAGUAAACCUACGAGAACGAUAUAAAGACUCACCGCUUUUCCAGAUAACAAUACUAGCCCGAGAAUAUUUUUAAAUUAUACGAGAAAUGUUAAGGCCAUGUUUACGUCAUAGUUAUUUCAUCAAUUUAAAUUGAGUAGUAUAUCCCAAUAGAAGAAAUUUUGAGUUCAGUGUUUCAAAUUAUUCUUCAUAUAGUAUUCACGAUAUGUACUAGAAAAAUAUUUAUAAUACUUAGUGUACGUUUUUUAGUAAUAUCGAAAUUUGAACGAAUUAAUUUGCUGUGUAAUCCCAACUCUCUUGUUAGUAAGUUUUGAUUGGGUCUUACUGAAAAUGCAUGUACGUAUCGUUAAUUACUCUCGGAUUAAAAGAUUUGUUAUUGCCUCUCUCCAUGCACGUGUGCUCUUGUGUACGCUUUUGUGCACUGACAUGUGGACGGGAAUACGUGUGUCUUUCUAUCUGCGUGUGAACGGACACAUGUUGUCUCAUUUUGAAAAUAAGAAUUAAGAUCAGAAUCAUUUGUUUUCAUAGAAUUUUGAUUUCUUUUGCAAGAAAUUUGUUCCUCGAUCUAUAUAAAUUCAGAUAAAACAAAUACCACUACAUAUAUUCCUUGGUGUACCAAAGUGAGACUAUGUAAUAUGUUACACUAUAUACCACGUUUGUGCGACGUUAAUACCGCCCUGUUGCUGCUACCAAACGUUCGAAAGGACGCCGAGUAUAAAAGGUAAAUACGGAAUAAUAUCAAAAUAGAAAUCAUUCUGUGCUUUUCAUCUUUUUACCGAAAGAACGAAGAAUUGAUAUGCUUUUGCUUGAUUUUUGAUAAACUGAAUAUUAUUAUUAUUAUAGUAAUAAUUAUAAUAUUUCAAGUUAAUGUUUUAGAUAUAAUAGAAUCGACAAAUGAAUUAUUUUCAUAAUCGUAAUAUUUAAACGAUAGUAUAUUCGCUUAAACAUUACGAAGAUCGUAACGUGCGAAUAACAUAAAAUAAUUUUCAGCUAAAAUUUAAAUAAUUUAUGAUUUUCAUAUUGGAAUAGUUGCAUCUGAGUUUCAUCGCUGCGUGUAAUAUCAAUAAAAACGAACAUUGGAAUGACUUUGACGGUUACCCUCACUUUUUAAAGGUGAAAACUUCAAACUUAAUACUUUUGAUAAUUUUAAACUCAUUUAAACGAUAUAAAUGUACGACGAGUUAAACUAUCCACUAUUUAAGCAGUAGUAGAUUCCGUUAAACAUUACACGCCACGAAACACCGACGGAAUAUCAGAUAAUUUUUAUUUAUUCUCUGUUGGACUCGAAUUUUGAAAUGGCCGUUGUUGGCAACAUGUACAGUCAAUAAAUGAUUAGUUUGGACGGUUACCGAAUUAGUUUUCCUUUGUACUCCGACGAAUAAACAUCGAAGCUCUCUCGCUGCCACCCGCAAAGAAUGAAAGUUACAUUCACGUAGGUGUAUAUAAGAAAAUAUAUUAUAUAAGUUUUUCUUUAAGGUAAUUGUAAAAAAAUGUAAUGAACUAACGAAAAUAUUUGUAUCUCUCUCUAUGAGUAAACGUAAUUAAGCUAGGAAUAGAUGUACAUAGUAGCCAUUAAUAUUUUUCUGUAAUGAUUUCUUGAAUUCUGCGCUCGACUCUUUUCGAUGUGUAUGUAAGGAACAUCAACUUUUCGCAAUGUGUGUGGUAACAUCGCAUCGGAAACUAAAUCUUGCGAAUAAAAGGAAAUAUCCGUUUAA